UGGACUGGAAGAACAGUAAAGAUGAUGGACAGAGGACAUGAAACUUCUCAACCUGAUGAAAAUGAGCUUUCCUAAUAACUUGGGACCUACCUGUCUAAAAAUAAACUAUCGUAGCCAUGAGUGAUCCGACAAAAUCUGAGACCAGAGACUCAUUUUCUUCUCAAAUGCUUUCUCCAGAAGAUUUUUUAAAGAACAAGGAAUCUUCAGGGGCCAAAUCCUGACACAACGAGGCACCUUCUGAAUUCUCUCUCCAAUAAAAGCUUACUUCAAGACUGGAACCCACUCCCAGAUACAGACUGACUACAAGAUUGACUGUGAUUAAUUUGUAACCUGGUAGGGCCCUCAAUGGCCCCAGCCCCUACAUCAGAGGGAACAAUAAUUCAAGAUGAGCCAUUGGAGCAAGUCUCAUCACCUGGCACUUCCUAGCAUUCCCUGCCUCUUCUGCAUUCCAAACUCUCUCUUAAAAAACCCCUGCAUUCCCUCCAAAAAUUGAAAAGUAAAAUUUUUCUUAGCCACUCUUCCCCUUGCUGGCACGAAUAAUAAAGUUUCAGUCUUUUUCUAUCACAUCUCGUUAUUAUUUUGGCUUCUUUCUACAAGUGGCGAGCAGUCAAACACUUUUGCCAGUUACAAAGUGACUUUGAGAGUCUGGAUAGCAGAACCUACCACAGGGGGACAGCCUUGCUCACUCAAGAAGCCCCCUGCCCACCCCUCCCUUGGACUCCCACAGGAAUCAACUAUGAAGGAGGAACUAAACCCAUCCAGAGUGUGUAGGGGUUAAUGGAAGAGGGCCAGAAAAGAGAGGCCAGAGUAGUGGACAAUUUGGUUGGCAAAACCUGACUAUUGCUCCCUUUAUAGUGCAUAGGUUG
rnacentral:lncRNA from 1 species